GCCAGUGUGAUGUAGUGGUUUGAGUGCUGGACUAUGACUUUGGAGACCAGGGUUCGAUUCCCAGCUUGGCCA
rnacentral:tRNA from 1 species